rnacentral:lncRNA from 1 species
CUAUGAGUUAGUGACGGGAUAUAUCCACGAGGGAUCUCACCACUGUCAUACUUCCCAUGCCCAAUUUCACCGCUGUCAUACUUAGCCAGGCCAAUAUCACUGCCACGUGAGUUUGUCCGCCAGGUGAGCAUUCUCUCAGCAAUCUUUUGCUUCUGAUCCUGGUUGCCAGAUGCUUGGUAGUUGUAGUCACUCACAUCGUCAGCAUCCACAUCCUCAUUUUCCUCACCGUGUACUGGUGGGCUCCCUGAACAACAGAACACGAUUGAGUAAAGAAUAAGAUUCAGCCUCGGUUGAAGCCAAAGAAUUCCACUCUUGUGGCUCUUGGCGGCAAUGUGACUCGAAACUACAAUUCGAGUACAGUUCACUGAGAGAGCUAGCUUACGGUGAGAAUCUGAAUAAAUUUGCCAAACACUGAACUAUUACCUGUUCCUAGCGAUUAAAACACAACUACCUGCUUGAUUUCAGUGGCUGUUGCAGCCUAGCCUGCUGCACUCAACCUGGAGUACAUGGAAAUCGGUGGAAAUGGCGGCGGUUGGCCAUACCUUUGUGGCGCUUGUACUUAGUCUUGCACUGCGGGCACGCCUGGGUGCCGUCCUUGCGCUCGUACUCGUAGCAUGGGCGGCACACGGGGAAGCCGCAGACGUCGCAGGCGGUGAAGAGGUCGCCGUCCGCCGCGGUGCCCACGCCGUCGCCGCAGAUCUGGCACACCUGCCCGGCCACAUGCUUCCCCGAAUUCUUCGCACGCGCGCAGAUAAACCAAACCCAAAAGGCACACACACGAAAACACCUUCAGUAACGAACAAACCGCGGGAGAAAACCCUCCUGCUACUCCCUAUAAUUCCCCCAACCCCCGUCCCCCGAAAUGCGUGCCACUCACCGUGGCGUCGCCGCCGUCCAUGGCGCACCAAUCCGAGCCCUCCACGAGUUCACAAACGCCGGACCCCCGCCGACUCACCGCAUUCCUCGGCUUCCCCUCCCGCGUGCCGGCGCCGAAUCGCCCCCGGGCUCGCGCGCUGGCGGGAGAGGCAGAAGCAGAGGCAGCCCAGCGGUGGCAGUGGCCCUAACCCAGUGUUCACCUCGCGCAGGAGCAAGUGGUGGAGCUCGCUCGAGGCGGCGACGGAGGGGGGAGGGGAAAAGGGACGCGGCACCGACGAGACGGCGACGGGGUGGGGUGGGGUGGGGGGACGCGCACACGAGGCAAUGCCGUGCGGAUUGGAUCGGCGUGUUACCACCUUGCUUGCGUGGUGCCGGGGUUUAGCGAUCGGUGAUUGAGUGAUAAACCCCGGGAUUUUGCUGGGUAAUUUUGGAUUCGCUUGCGAGGUUGGAGUUGAUCUGUCCUUGGUUUUGGCUGUUAGUUUUCGCGUGGGGGAGGCCAGGUGGGGAAUGGGAUUAGCGGUGGGGUGGACGGGGACCACAGGACAGCGAUGUACGUGGGGGAGUCCAUGUCGAGACCUCGCUCUCGUGGUCGGCCGCACAGCUGGACUCUGGAGAGGGCGUGUGGGGCCGAGUGGCAGGGACUGCGGCAACGCGCGACAGCUGGGGAUUGGUUGGCUGCCGCAAUGCCGCUGGAGGAGGAGUGGAGGACUGCCCGAAGGACGGACGGGAAUGAAUGAAUGUCGUAGGAUGGGGGGUUUUUUUUAAGGAAUGUCAUGGAAUGGAAUGUGUGGAUCCUUAAGGUCACAGCUGCACAUAUGCUGUCAAACAGCCGAACAGUUGAGUUUCCACUGUGAUCGUGUACAAAUACAGUAUCAUCACAUACGUGUAUUCGUGCCACUACAAGGUAGAACUGAUUGUUUGCCUAGGCCAAGGUGGAGCAAUGUCGUUAAGCAUGAAUUCGGAUCCACUCGCUCCGAAUAUAUCUAGAUCGUUAUAUCUAGCUUUUUAGUUUGGAACACAUAGUCACAUAGAUAUGUAGAUAAUAAGUAGGAGGACCCAAUAUAAUAUGUACUAUCUAUUAAAUUAAUAAUGUAGGCCACGACACUAGACGCACUACCAUCCCUCGCUCCCUCUCCGCGCACACGCAUGCGUCCGCGCCUGCCUCCCCGUGCUCGCAAAAUCCGCUCCAACCCCUUCUCCUCGGACCGCCGCCCCCACACCUCCCAUUUCUCGCAUCCACUCCCUCCCGGCCAUGCCCCCACCUGCACCUGCACACGUCCUCCCAACGAUCCGGGAUCCUAUCCACUCGACAAAACCUAACAACCCCAUGUGAUUUAUCCGCCCCGAUCGCAAUCCAUUCGGUUAAACCCUAACAACCACGGUCCCCAUAUAAUCAUCGUCGCUAGCGCCAUCGGCAUCUGCCUCCUCGUUGUGCUCAGGCGCCCUGUUGGGGGUAUGCUUCGUAGCCGAAGAUCCUAAAGAAAUGAACACCUUCGGCAAAUCCUCUCCAAAGCAGCGCCGAAGCUAGCGACUGUAAAGCUUCGGCACAGUGAUAUGUCUCAAGACGAAGGGGUGAACCGACUUAAAGAUGAAAUGACUUGAAGACCCAUAAUAUUCUGUGUCAUUAUUGUAGUUCAUUGUAAAGGGUAUAAAUGUAAUUAUAUACAGGCUGUGAACUGUGCCUAUAAAUAGGUGAACAGCACCCCUGUACUGUUCACGUGCUUUUCUGUAAUCACGCAUUGGGCAUUUGUUUUUGCUUCACGCUGGUAUUUUUGCUUUCCUUCAAGCCGAAGGUACAUUUGUAAUUUGUUAUCAUUUUUACAAUAAUGGAAUAGAAAUAAGUUAAUAAUAAUAAUCAUGUGUUUAAAUUAUUUUACAUAUUUUUUAUCCUUCCUCAUUAUUUGUCGUGUUUAUGAAGGUAUAACCUUCAUAACCUUCGUCUGGAACCCAUUAUAUCCUGAGGGAGAUAAUGCUUCGAAGGACGAAGGACUAUAACAUUUAACAAUUUCUAUGUUGCCUUGUUCUUGAUUCAUAGUAUUUGAGAACAAGUCCCCAACAUUGGCGCCCACCUCCGGUGAACUCACUUCCACUUUUUUGAGCUGAUGGCUUCGAUCAAGAAUCAAGCUGGAACUGCUUCGGCUCCGAAGCUGGUUCUCCCGAUAACAGGCGGUUCAUGCUCAGAACCGGCCAACAAGAAACAGAAGAAGGAGGCACAGAGAAGAGUACAACAUGUAGGGGUACAAGGACCCUUCAUCAAAUCAAGAUGGUCUCACAUUCCAAUUACUUUUUCUCAAGAGGAUCUUCAGCUCAAGGAUUACCCACACAAUGAUGUUAUGGUUAUCUUUUGUGUGAUCAAAGGAUUUCUAGUCCAUAAUGUUUUGGUUGAUACAGGCAGUGCAGCUGAUAUCAUAUUCGCUAAGGCCUUCAGACACAUGCAAGAGCCCGAAGACAAGAUCCAUGAUGCCACACACCCCUUUGUGGCUUCGGAGGAAGACAGAUUGUAGCACUCGGAAAAAUCACAAUGCCAGUAACCUUCGGAUAUAUCAACAACACAAGGAUUGAACAAGUUGUAUUCGAUAUUGUUGACAUGGAAUACCCUUACAAUGCAAUCAUUGGUCGUGGUACUCUCAAUGCCUUCGAAGCAAUUCUUCAUCCAGCAUAUCUUUGCAUGAAGAUACCUUCAGACCAAGGACCCAUUGCUAUUCAUGGAAGUCAGGAAGCUGCCAGAAGGGCCGAAGGAAAUUGGACAGACUCAAAAGCAAUCCAUAACAUAGAUGGAGCUGAAGCUUGUGAGCAAUACAAGUUCAGAAGGGAGAAAGCUGCUUCGGCCGAUCAGCCGAAGCCCAUGCUUUUAUGCGAGGACAUAGCAGAGCAGAAGGUGCUGUUGGGAUCUCAACUGUCAGAGGAACAGGAGAAAACCUUGAUAAGGUUUCUGUUCAACAACAAAGAUGUUUUUGCAUGGUCAGCCAAUGAUCUUUGCGGAGUUAACAGGGAUGUUAUUGAACACUCAAUCAAUGUUGAUCCAUCCUUCAGACCCAGAAAGCAGAGGCUUCGGAAGAUGUCUGAUGACAAGGCCGAAGGUGCUCGGAAUGAAGUGAAAAGACUCCUCAGUGCCGGAGUUAUCAGAGAGGUAAAAUACCCAGAAUGGCUGGCUAACAGUGUUAUGGUAAAGAAGGCCAAUGGUAAAUGGAUGAUGUGUAUCGAUUUUACUGAUCUCAACAAGGCCUGUCCGAAGGACGAGUUUCCAUUGCCAAGGAUAGAUUCCCUAGUUGAUGCAGCAGCUUCAUCAGAGCUUAUGAGUCUGCUGGAUUGUUAUUCAGGCUAUCAUCAAAUUUGGAUGAAGAAGGAGGAUGAGCCGAAGACCAGCUUCAUAACCCCUAGUGGAACAUAUUGUUACCUUCGGAUGCCUGAGGGGCUCAAGAAUGCUGGAGGAAGCUUCAGCAGAAUGACAACGAAGGUUCUUCAAUCUCAGAUAGGCAGAAAUGUGCUAACUUAUGUUGAUGAUAUCAUUGUAAAAAGCACGAAGCAAGAGAAUCACAUUACUGAUCUGCAGGAGACCUUCGCUAAUUUUAGACAGGCCGGUUUAAAGUUGAAUCCAGAAAAAUGUGUCUUCGGAGUGAAGAAAGGGAAAUUUCUUGGCUGUCUAGUUUCAACAAAAGGGAUUGAGGCUAAUCCAAAUAAAAUCGAAGCUAUCCUUCGAAUGGAACCACCAAGUACAAAAAAGGGGGCUCAAAGAUUAACAGGAAGAUUGGCAUCUCUCAACAGAUUCAUAUCUAGAUCAGCAGAGAGAAAUUUACCAUUUUUCGAAGUGCUGAAGUCAGCCGAAGUUUUUCAAUGGGGACCAGUUCAGCAGAGAGCCUUCGAAGAACUGAAGCAAUAUUUGAUAGACCUAACAACACUAACUCCACCAACACCAGGGGCUCCUCUGUUGCUAUAUGUGGCAGCUUCGCACUCAGCGGUAAGUGCAGCACUUGUUCAGGAGAAGCUUGAAGGCCAAGUCAAAAAGCAGGCCCCAAUAUACUUUGUAUCUGAAGUUCUUAGUUUAUCAAAGAAAAAUUAUACAGAAUUGGAGAAGGUGCUAUAUGCUGUUUUGAUGGCCUCUAGGAAGCUUCGACACUACUUUCAAGCAUACAAUAUAGUUGUUCCUUCUUCACAACCGUUGAAGGAUAUUAUGAGAAAUAGAGAAGCUACUGGAAGGUUUGGAAAAUGGGUUGCGGAGCUCAAUGAAUUUUGUAUUGAUUAUGUGCAUAGAUCUUUGAUUCAGUCCCAAGUGUUGGCUGACUUCAUUGCUGACUGGACGCCAGGGGCUCAGGAAGAAGAAACGAGUAAAGAUGCCGAAGUGUGGACAAUAUUUUGCGAUGGAUCUUGGGGAACCUUCGGAGCAGGAGCAGCUGCUGUGUUGGUCGCACCUUCCAAAGUUAAAACUUGUUACGCAACAAGACUUGAUUUCAAUUGCACAAAUAACAUUGCUGAGUACGAAGCUUUGCUCUUGGGUCUUCGGAAGUUAAAGGCAAUGGGAAUCAGAAGGGCGGUUCUUAAAACUGAUUCCCAAGUUAUUUCUGGUCAUAUUGACAAAAGUUAUAAAGCAAGAGAUCCGAAGCUUGAAAAAUAUUUAGACACUGUCCGAAGGAUUGAUGCUUCCUUUGAGGGGUUUUCUGUUAAAAAUAUUCCUCGUGGAGAAAAUGAAUAUGCUGAUUUAUUAGCCAAGUCAGCAGCACAGGGGCUGCCCUUACCUUUGGAAGUAUUUUUCGAAACAAUAAAAGCACCUUCGGUUGAGCUUCUUGAAAGAGCAGCCCUCAACAUAUCCCCUGUCUAUAGUGAAGACUGGAGAACUGAGAUCAUCUCUUUUCUUCAGGGUAACUUUCUUUCAGAUGACGAAGCUUAUAACAGGAGGAUAGAGGCAAGAGCUCGACCAUAUGUUAUAAUAGAAGGGGAGCUAUACAAGUGUGGCGUCUGUUCUCCGUUAGAGCCGAAGGUAUAGAACUGAUGAAGGAAAUACAUGCAGGCCUGUGUGGAUCUCACAUUGGAUCUAGGCCUUUGCUUGGAAAAGUUUUUCGUCAACGAUUUUAUUGGCCAGAGGCAGCUUCGAACGCAGCGGAAUUAGUCCAAAAGUGCGAAGGUUGUCAGAAAUGUGCAAGAGAUCAAAAACAACCUUCGUCUCUAACUCAGUUAAUACAACCCACUUGGCCGUUGCAAAGGUGGGGCCUUGAUUUGUUAGGUUCGUUACCACCAGCACAAGGGAACUUAAGAUAUGUUGUAGUGGCAGUGGAAUAUUUUCUAAAUGGAUUGAGGCAAAGCCUUUAGCCACAAUAACUUUGGUCACUAUUCAAAAGUUUUUCUGGCAAAAUAUUGUUUGUCGUUUCGGAGUACCGAAGGCUAUUACUAUAGAUAAUGGGACACAGUUUGAUUCCGAAGCUUUCAAAGAACUUUGUGAUCAAAUUGGCACGAAGAUCCAUUUCGCAUCAGUUCGACAUCCAGAGUCAAAUGGGCUUGUUGAAAGAGCUAAUGGCAUCAUAAUGACAGGAAUAAUGAAGUUAAUCUUCAAUCAGCCCAGAGGAAAGUGGCCAGACAAAUUAAUCAAAGUGGUGUGGAGCCACAACACAACAAUAUCAAGAUCAACGGGCUUUACGCCAUUCAAACUAUUGUUUGGUGACGAAGCAAUAACUCCGGAAGAAGCCAAAGCAGGAUCAAUAAGAAUAGUAGCUUCGGCAGAAGGCGAAGCUGAAGCUGAUUACUCUGUGGAAAAAGAUGCUAUAGAGGGGAUCAGGCUUCAAGCUGUGGAAAACAUCAACAAAUACCAAGCUGAAACAAUAAAAUGGAGUGAUAGAAAUGUUAAGCUAAAUAACAUCGAACCAGGGCAUUUGGUGCUUCGAAGAGUAGCCAACCCAGAGACAGUAGGCAAAUUACAGCUGAAGUGGGAAGGACCUUUUCUGGUAGUAUCUUCGUCAAGACCCGGUUCCUACAGGUUGAAGGAUAUGGACGGCAACGACAUUCCUAGAUCAUGGAAUGCGGACGAGCUUCGGCGAUAUUAUGUUUAGCUUGAUGUAAUUUUUUCUAUUCUUUCUUGUGGCACCCUUUUCCUUUCCAAAGGGGGAGAAAGGUUUUAAUGGGGCCACAACAUGUAAUUUUUCUUUUCCUUAUUUCAAUUUUAUAAGAGUGAUAUCCCCCAAAGAUGUAAAUGUAAAAACUGACAACGCACCAUCGAGUGCAAAGGAAAAAGAAAAGAAAACAGGGAGAAGCUCAAAAGCCAUUCCUAAGGGAAUGCAGAGCUUACAGCGAAAAAUAAACGCUGAUUCCGCCGAAAGUAAAAGGCGAAGAAGCUCCUAAGGGAGACUUACAGCGAAAAAUAAACGCUGAUUCCGCUGAAAGUAAAAGGCGAAGAAGCUCCUAAGGGAGUGUCACACCCGGUUUUUAGAAGGCAAACCGAAUGCGAACCAUGUACGUGCCAGGAUCAGUUAUUCACGUACACAGCAGUUACAUAAUAUGGACAUCAUCACACAGUGCUCAAAAUAGUAUUAAAAGGGGAAAUAAUAGUCGAUUACAUCAUACGUCUGAGACGUCCAUAUAGUUCUUACAAUAAAUCAAAGUGCGGAAAAGAAACGUAGAUAACGCGGCCUUCACAGGCAGCCGACUGGGGGUUGCCGCUAACCCACACCUAGAACUCGUCGUAAUCUUGGAACUCCUGGAAGUCUCCUUCCACAGCUUCAUCUUCGCCUGAGCAGUGGUUGCAAUGCUGACAACCUGGGGGGGGGGGUUUGGUGUGUAGAGCAAGGGUGAGUACACAUCAACAUACUCAGCAAGUAUCCUGUUUGGCUGUAGUGGACUAGCUUUAUGUGGGGAUAAGUCAAGCAGUUGCUUUUAGUUGGUCAGGUUAUUACUUACUAGUAGAAAGCCAGGUUUUAACAUUAACCCAAGUUAUUAGCCCAAUGUAUCCUUUCCAAACGGAAAGAAUACCACUUACCAGCACCAUAAUCAUAACCAGAUUCAACAGUCUCAUAACCACCUGUACCACAAUAUCUCUGAUCAAGUACCACUAAUCAUUGGAGCUCCCUUGGCCGCUCAUAACCGCGAGCACGGCUGAUAUAUCAGUUUCAUAACACUCUGCAGAGGUUGUGCACUUUACCCACAAGCCGUGAUUCCCAUUCUGCCCGGAGAUCAUGACUCUCCAUUGAUCACUACCAAGGUGAUCCAGCAGGGCAUCACUACGAAGCCUUUACAAAGAUUCCCCGGGGCUGUAGCCACCCGUUAGGUUUCCUAAAUGCACCGCACUCCUCCCCAAGGGGCGAACCCAAACUUGGCAGAGCGAGCCGCAUACACCGAGCCCCAUUGACGGCACGACGGCUAAGUGAACUACACCCCGGAUCCUCUAAUUAUUCAGCUAAGGGCACCCCAUUCCACCCUCAUGGUUGCACUGUUUUCCCGGGCGGUCAUCCAUAGAACAGGUCCUUACGGAGAGGCACUCGAGAAACCGCUCGAGUCCCCUUGAAAACCACAAGUAUAAUCAUAAAGAAGAGCGGGAAAACAGCGUAUCAUAGAUAAUCACAUCAUGUUCAUUGAUUAGAGUUGAGCAAUAGCAUCAGACUAAGUAGUAAUAAUCCGACCCAAAUAGGUAAACAAGGACAUGGAUAACAAAAGCUAGUCAAUCCUUAGGUAUAAAUGUGUAAAGCGGGAGGUGAAUUAAAGAAUGAAUAGGACAUAGAUAGGUCAAAGGACACUUGCCUCCACCAAACGACUGCUGCUCAGGGGCUUCUCCUGCGAAUUCCUCGGGCUCUUCGACCGGAUCGUUCUCUAUGCGAGCGCAAACAUACAUACAUACAUCCACAUAUUUAAUACAAAAGAACAGUACACCAUACAAGAUAACAAAUAAAGCGAAUAUGCAUCAAGUAUGACAUUCGAUAACGCAUUUGUUAUGGUUAGAAAGAAACGGGAAAGGUCUCGCAGGGGGGUUAAAUCUUAUGCACUAAUGACACAAUUGGUUUUUAACAAAAGAAUUCUGUUACAUAUACACUAAUGGAAACCUAAUCACUUUUAGUUGAUCAACAUUGCACAGGGUAAACAAUUAACUACGUGCAUCAAUAGCAUAACGGAAUUUUAAAUUAAACUUCCUAUUUCCCAUAGCAUGAACAGUGAUUAGCCUACUUAAAAUACAGUAAUUAUGAUUACAGAAAGUAAAUAAAAUAAAAUAAAAAAAAAUAAAAAAAACAGAAGGGGGGGGCGGUUGAACCGGCCCUAGGGCGGUUGAACCGGCCCUAGGCGGGGCGCGGGCGCGGGCGGCUGAACCGGCGGGGCAGGGGGCGGCGCAGGGGGCGGCCGAGCCGGGGGGGGGGCGGCCGAACCGGCGGGCAGGGCGGCAGGGGGCGGCCGACCGGGGGCGGGGCGGCCGAACCGGCGGGCAGGGAGGCGGCGCAGGGGGCGGCCGAGCCGGGGGGCGGGCGGCCGAACCGGCGGGCAGGGAGGCGGCGCAGGGGGCGGCCGAGCCGGGGGCGGGGCGGCCGAACCGGCGGGCAGGGAGGCGGCCGAACCGGCCAUGGGGAAAGGGGAGAGGGAUGGGGGAGGGAGGAGAGGGGGAGGGGGAGCUCACCGGGGAGGGGCGCGACGGCGAGGGGCGGCCGGCGGCAGGGGCGGCCGAGGGCGGCGGUUGGGCAGGGGCGGCGGCGGCUUAGGGCAGGGGUAGGGGCGGCGGCUUAGGGAGAGGGAGAGAAAAUGAGAGAAAAUGAGAGGGAGAGGGAGAGGGUUUGGGGAAAAAGGGGAGGUGGGGGGGGCGGUUGGGCCUAUUGGGCCCAGGGGGGGGCGCGCAGGGCGGCUGGGCCGGCCGGGGUCGGCCCACGGCGCGGGAGAGAGAAAAAAAAAAGGAAGAGAGAGAGAAAAGAGAAAGAAAAGAGAAAGAAAACAUUUUCGAAAUCCGAUUCUUCUACAUGAAUGCAUUUGCACUUUCAAAGCAAUCAAAGGAAAUGCAAGGUUCGGCAUGGUGCAUCGAGCAACAUAAAGCAUUUAGGGUUUUCUUACACGGGAAAUCCAAACCGAAUCCCGCUAGAACUUUGGAAAAGGUCAAGGUUUAGCGAGGGAAAAAGAAAAGGAAAGGUAACGCCCGAAUUUUGGCGAGUAAAGAAAAGAAAAAAAUUCAACUGCAAAAUUCGGGGCGUUACAAACCUAUCCCCCUUAAAAGAAUCUCGCCCUCGAGAUUCAGGGCUGGCUAGCAAAGAGCUCCGGGUACUUGGCCAUCAGAUCAUCUUCACGCUCCCAGGUUGCUUCUUCCUCAGAGUGGUGACUCCAUCUGACUUUGCACAUCCUGACGGUCUUCCUUCGGGUGACUCUAUCUGCAACCUCAAGGAUCUGAGCUGGCUUCUCAACGUAGGUCAAGUCCUCCUGGACUUCAAGACCUUCCACUGGCAACUGCUCUUCUGGCAUACGCAAGCACUUCUUCAACUGAGACACAUGAAAGACAUCAUGCACAGCAGACAAAUUCUCUGGCAAACUGAGCUGAUAAGCCACUUCUCCACGUCUUGCAAGAAUCUGAUACGGACCAAUGUAGCGGGUGCUAGCUUGCCUUUCACUCCGAAUCUUCUGACUCCUCUGAUCGGUGACACUUUCAGAUAGACAAAGUCUCCGACUUCGAAACUCAGCUCUCUUCUUCUUGUGUCUGCAUAGCUUCGCUGCCUUGAUUGCGCUAUCUUCAGAUUCUCUCGGACCAUCUUGAUGUUCUCUUCGGCUUCAAGCAAAAUGUCUGGCCCAAACACUUGCUUCUCUCCAGGCUGAUCCCAUUGCAACGGAGUUCUACAACUCCUUCCAUAGAGCGCCUGAAAUGGUGACAUCUUCAAACUGGCCUGAUAACUGUUGUUAUAGGAAAACUCUGCAUAAGGCAAUCGCUUGUCCCAUCCGGACUGAUCUUGCAACGCACAGGCUCUCAACAUAUCUUCAAGAAUUUGAUUGGUUCUUUCAGUCUGACCAUCUGUCUGCGGGUGAUAAGCUGAACUGAAAUUCAGAUGCGUGCCCAAGGCUUCAUGCAACUGCUGCCAGAAAUGAGAGGUGAACUGCGUUCCUCUGUCUGACACUAUCUUCUUUGGCACACCAUGAAGACAAACGAUCCGAGACAUAUACAAUUCUGCCAAUACUGCACUGUUGUAGUUGGUCUUGACAGGUAUGAAGUGGGCUGACUUGGUCAAGCGGUCCACUACUACCCAAAUGGAAUCGUAGCCGGCUCGAGUGCGAGGCAAUCCGACUAUGAAAUCCAUGCCAAUUUCAUCCCAUUUCCACUGAGGGAUCUGCAACGGUUGCAACAAUCCAGCUGGUCUCUGGUGUUCUGCCUUAAUUCUUCGACAACUAUCGCACAUAGCCACAUGCUCUGCGAUUUCCCUUUUCAUUCCGUACCACCAGAAUUUCUUCUUCAGAUCCUGAUACAUCUUCUCACUGCCAGGGUGAAUCGAAUAAGCUGUCUCAUGAGCUUCCUUAAGAAUCAACUCCCGAAUAGACUGGACAUUGGGAACACACAAGCGGUCUUUGAACCAUAUCACGCCUUCUGCAUCUUCUCGAAAGUCUUUGCCUUUGCCAUCUAGAAUCAAUCGCCGAAUCUCACUGAUCUUCUCAUCAUUUUCUGCGCUUCUUUGAUUUCGCGCUCCAAGGUAGGUUCCAAUCAACUGUGACUCCUCGCGAAUUGUUCAGAAAUCCGAGACUCAACCUGUCAAACUCCUUGGCCAACUCAUAAGGCAUCGGCGAGCAACCAUCAGAUUGACUUGACUCUUUCUGCUCAAAGCAUCUGCCACUACGUUUGCUUUGCCUGGAUGGUAAUGAAUCUCCAACUCAUAGUCUUUGAUCAAUUCUAACCAUCUUCGUUGCCUCAUGUUCAAUUCUGACUGAGUGAAUAUGUACUUCAGACUCUUGUGGUCUGUGUAAACAUCGCAUUUCUGUCCAUACAAAUAGUGCCUCCAUGUCUUCAGUGCGUGAACCACUGCUGCCAACUCUAGAUCAUGGAUUGGGUAUUCUUCUCAUGAACCUUCAGCUGUCGGGACGAGUAAGCCACAACUCUUCCCUCUUGCAUCAACACACAUCCCAAACCUGUGUAACAAGCAUCACAAUACACCGAGAAGGGCUUGUGCACAUCAGGCAAGACUAGGACAGGCGCUGUUGUCAACUUCUCUUUCAGCGCUUCAAAGGCCUCUUGGCAUUUCUGGGUCCACUUGAACUCAACCUUGUUGCCUAGCAACGCUGUCAUUGGCUUCGCAAUCUUCGAAAACCCUUCAAUGAAUCGCCGAUAAUAUCCGGCCAUUCCAAUGAAGCUCUUGAUUCCUCUAGCAUCUGUUGGUGCUUUCCAGUUAGAAUGUCUGCCACUUUCUUCGGAUCCACAGCCAAUCCUUCUUUGUUGAUUAUGUGACCCAAGAACAGGACUUCACUGAUCCAGAACUCACACUUGCUCAACUUUGCAUACAACUGGUGCUCUCGCAAUCUCUGCAACACCAUCCUCAAAUGAUCUGCAUGCUCUUCUUCACUUUGAGAAUAAACCAGAAUGUCAUCAAUGAAUACCACCACGAACUUAUCAAGAUAAUCCAUGAAUACACUGUUCAUCAAGUUCAUGAAGAAUGCUGGCGCAUUGGUCAAACCAAAAGACAUCACUGUGAACUCAUACAAACCAUACUUGGAAAUGAAUGCCGUCUUCGGAAUGUCCGAAGGUCGGAUCCUGAGCUGAUGAUAACCUGACCUCAGAUCGAUCUUGGAGAACACACUGGCUCCUCUCAACUGGUCGAACAGAUCUUCUAUUCUGGGCAAGGAUACUUGUUCUUGAUCGUGACUUCAUUCAAAGCUCGAUAAUCGAUACACAUCCUCUUAGUGCCAUCUUUCUUCUCCACAAACAAGACAGGGGCGGCCCAAGGCGAGGUGCUUGGCCGGAUGUAACCUUUCUCUGACAGCUCAUCAAUUUGCUUCUUAAGUUCAUCCAACUCUGGUCCAGAUAUUCUGUAAGCUCUCUUAGAGAUGGGGGCGGUUCCAGGAAGAAGCUCUAUAGCAAAUUCAACUUUCCGCUCUGGUGGCAUACCCGGUAAAUCCUUUGGAAACACAUCUGGGAAUUCAGACACAACCUUGAUACUCUCAAUUGGGUCUGCUUCACUGCUAUCAACAGCCAUCUGAUAACAACUUCCUUUCUUUGGCUCAGGCGGGACUAACUCGGUCACCACUUCCUCUCCUAGUGGGGACACCAACUUGAUGGUCCUUUUAUCACAACUGAUAACUGCCUGAUACUUAUCUAACCAAUUCAUCCCUAGGAUGACAUCUAUUCCCUGAGUACCCAUUACUAUAAGGUUGGCGGGAAACGCUAUCCCCCUUAUUUCCACACUUACAUUUAAACAAAUGCUAUCAGCUCGAAUUCUACCACCGGCUGAGUCAAUUUGAAUGGGGGUUAACAUGGUAGUAGUUGGAAGAUUAUGUGCUUCUACCCAUGAUGCAGUAAUGAAAGAAUGUGUUGCUCCAGUAUCAAAUAACACUUCUGCAAUAUGGGAAUCGACUGGGAACAUACCUACUGUCAUGCCGGGGGUCUCCUGAACUGCUUCAGCUUCCAAGUGAUUCAAUCUUCCAUGAUUAUAGCGCUGCUGAGAGCGAUUGCCUGCUCCAGGCUGAGGCACAUUCUGCUUUGCUGGGGCAUUGGGGCCUGACUGCUGCUGGGCUGCCUUCUUCGGACAUUGCAUCACCCAGUGGCCUUGCUCUCCACAGUGGAAACAUGCCCUGUUUCCAACUUGAGCUGGUGCUGCCUGACUGUUCUACUGAUUUGCUGGGGCAGGAAGACGAGGUGCUUGCUGAUUCUGCUUCUGAAACUGACCUCCUGACUGAUUGCUCUGACGGUUCUGGUACUGAUGCUGAGGAUACUGCCUUUGGAACUGCUGAUACUGCUGACGCUGCUGAUGCUGCUGAGGUGGACGCUGGUUCUGCCUGAACUGCUGAGGUUGAUUGCCUGAGAAACGGGGACGGCUGCUGCUCCAGGCUGGGGUCCACUGAUCUUGCGCUUACGAUCUUCCAUCUCCUUGCGCUUCCUUUCUGUCAUGAUUGCUCUGUCAAUCAGGUGCUGGAAUGUCGGGAAGGUGUGAUUCAUCAGCUGGUACUGCAGAGGGUCGACCAAGCCUCUCAGAAAACGGUAUUGUCGCUUGGCGUCAGUGUUGACAUCUUCGGGAGCGUAGCGAGACAAUUGCAGAAACCUGUCCCGAUACUCACUGACAGACGAUGACCCUUGCUUAAGGGCCAGGAACUCCUCCUUCUUCACUGUCAUCAGACCUGCAGGAACAUGGUACUGACGAAAGCUACUUCUGAAUUCUUCCCAGGUGAUGGUGUCGGGGUUGGCAUGGGUGGCGAGGUAAGACUCCCACCAUGACUGGGCUGCUCCUCUCAACAGACGGGGACCAUACAGAACUUUCUCCCGGUCAUCGCACUGAGCGGUAUGCAACUCCCGCUCCACAGUGCGCAGCCAAUCUUCAGCAUCCAUGGGGUCAGAAGAGUGAGCGAACGUUGGUGGAUGACCUCUCAUGAAUUCAGCACGCUUAUCUCUAGGCAUCUGAGGCAUCUGAGGCUGGGGUGGUGCUUGCUGCUGCUGCUGCUGCUGCUGCUGAAUGGCGGCCAAAGUCUGACCGAUAGCUUGAACUGCCUGAGUCUGCAUCAGAAACAUCUGCUCAAUCGACAUCGGGGGCGGGGGCGGCAGGUGCUGCUGCUGGGGCACCUCAUCCUGCGGAGCGGCUCGCUCCUGCUGAGCACGCCUUCCUCCUCUACGCCUGUUCUCUGACAUCUGCAGAACGCAACCACACAUCAGAACUGAUCUGGCAAAGCUUGCAGCAUAAGAAAAGAGUAUAGAAUUCUCCAACAGCACUGAACAGAUGAGCAUCUUCACUGAUCUCCAACACAGACCACACAGCUUCUCAGAUAAAGAGGAAAGGAGAAUAAUGGGUUUCCCAACUAUAUAACUAACUUUAUUGACAUAGUAUGUAAACCAAAAUGCAGGGGAUACCCACACUCUGGUGACAAUCAUUACAAAGAUCCAAACCAAACAUAGUUCAUCAUGACAAACAUAGAUGCACAGGAUAUAGCAAACUACCCUGUCUAACUAAAACUAACUAAGAUCGAGGCUAACGCUAAGACUGAAGCUUCCAUGUAUAUAUUUCGUAUUAAUUACAAGAUCCAACUCUAACGAUCUAUGGUUCUAGGUUGAUCUUGGUCUUGCAGGCGGGAUUGCCAUAAGACUGGUGUCCACGCUGAGGUGAGCGGUACGGGUGCUGAGUCCCAACGGGAGCGGGGGAUCCACCGUCCAGAAAACGACGUUCCGCGCGCUCAGCCCGCAGCAGGGCGAUCUCAGCACGAGCCCUACUCAGCUCGUCUAAUGCAUGGUCCAGCUCCGUGUUUAGCACGGCGGCUAGGUUGACUGUGCUGCUCAACCUAGGAUUGCCCUCACCGACAGGUGAGACAAUCACGCCUCCUGUGCUGCCAGAUGAACGGCGGGGGUAAUACUUCAGGUCAAGACCGUCAGCUGCCCCACCGAAAACCGAGCAGUAGUGCGAAAGCGCACGCCGUGCAGCAUCUUGCAUGGCUGCCUCAGCUGAGUCCCGCUCAGAGAUAGAAUAGUGCUCUGAACAGGCCUCUGCACCCUGGAGACUGUCCUCCGGGCAGCGCACCAAGCAAGUCGCCUCCCAGCGGUCCGGGUAGACCCCGCGACUAUGCUGGUAGACCACACAGCGAUACUCGACGGACCAAGUAUGCCGGUCAAAUGCCCGACGUAGCAGGGUGUCGAGCGCAUCAUGGAAGUGACACCCGCGAGCAGCGUCGCGAGUGAUGGGUCGAGCAACCCAUCCUUCCGGCUCAGGAUUAGCAGAGAAGUCGGUGUCGUGGCUCGAGCUGUCGUCGCCUCCUCCGUCGUCUGGGUCUCCCCCAGCAGCUACUCCAGAAGCUGGGGCGCCCAGUGGUGGUGCAGGGGGCGGCUCCAGAGAAAGCACAGGGGAGCAGCUCCUCACAGACUCUAUCUCCUGGUGGAGCGAGAGGGAAGAGCUCCGCUGCUCCUGUCGUCGACGUUCCUGCUCCUCACGCAGGCGGUGGUGUAGUCUCUCCAAGUGGCUGGACUGUCCGGCCACGGGACGGCGAAGCGGGCGCUCAGCAAGACGGGAGGGUAAGAAGGGGAUGACUGACUUUCGUGCAGUGUGUCUAAGUCGAGCCAUCUACAAAAGACAUCGCAAGCAAAAGGGUGAGAACAGAAUUAAUAUGACCAGCAAAUAAUGAAUCAUAAAUAGAUGAAGGAUUAGAAUAAAACAUGAUUUUCAGCAAGGUAUAAUAUAUAGUAGAACAUAGGUUUGGUCGGUAGGACCAACUUUUGAAGGGAUAUCAAAGUCAAGGCAGAGACAGAGGUCUAUAAUCCUUAGAACGACCAUUCUACUCUAGGUUAGCGGUCCUACAGUCAGCACGGCUCUGAUACCACUUAUGUCACACCCGGUUUUAGAAGGCAAACCGAAUGCGAACCAUGUACGUGCCAGGAUCAGUUAUUCACGUACACAGCAGUUACAUAAUAUGGACAUCAUCACACAGUGCUCAAAAUAGUAUUAAAAGGGGAAAUAAUAGUCGAUUACAUCAUACGUCUGAGACGUCCAUAUAGUUCUUACAAUAAAUCAAAGUGCAGAAAAGAAACGUAGAUAACGCGGCCUUCACAGGCAGCCGACUGGGGGUUGCCGCUAACCCACACCUAGAACUCGUCGUAAUCUUGGAACUCCUGGAAGUCUCCUUCCACAGCUUCAUCUUCGCCUGAGCAGGGGUUGCAAUGCUGACAACCUGGGGGGGGGGGGUUUGGUGUGUAGAGCAAGGGUGAGUACACAUCAACAUACUCAGCAAGUAUCCUGUUUGGCUGUAGUGGACUAGCUUUAUGUGGGGAUAAGUCAAGCGGUUGCUUUUAGUUGGUCAGGUUAUUACUUACUAGUAGAAAGCCAGGUUUUAACAUUAACCCAAGUUAUUAGCCCAAUGUAUCCUUUCCAAACGGAAAGAAUACCACUUACCAGCACCAUAAUCAUAACCAGAUUCAACAGUCUCAUAACCACCUGUACCACAAUAUCUCUGAUCAAGUACCACUAAUCAUUGGAGCUCCCUUGGCCGCUCAUAACCGCGAGCACGGCUGAUAUAUCAGUUUCAUAACACUCUGCAGAGGUUGUGCACUUUACCCACAAGCCGUGAUUCCCAUUCUGCCCGGAGAUCAUGACUCUCCAUUGAUCACUACCAAGGUGAUCCAGCAGGGCAUCACUACGAAGCCUUUACAAAGAUUCCCCGGGGCUGUAGCCACCCGUUAGGUUUCCUAAAUGCACCGCACUCCUCCCCAAGGGGCGAACCCAAACUUGGCAGAGCGAGCCGCAUACACCGAGCCCCAUUGACGGCACGACGGCUAAGUGAACUACACCCCGGAUCCUCUAAUUAUUCAGCUAAGGGCACCCCAUUCCACCCUCAUGGUUGCACUGUUUUCCCGGGCGGUCAUCCAUAGAACAGGUCCUUACGGAGAGGCACUCGAGAAACCGCUCGAGUCCCCUUGAAAACCACAAGUAUAAUCAUAAAGAAGAGCGGGAAAACAGCGUAUCAUAGAUAAUCACAUCAUGUUCAUUGAUUAGAGUUGAGCAAUAGCAUCAGACUAAGUAGUAAUAAUCCGACCCAAAUAGGUAAACAAGGACAUGGAUAACAAAAGCUAGUCAAUCCUUAGGUAUAAAUGUGUAAAGCGGGAGGUGAAUUAAAGAAUGAAUAGGACAUAGAUAGGUCAAAGGACACUUGCCUCCACCAAACGACUGCUGCUCAGGGGCUUCUCCUGCGAAUUCCUCGGGCUCUUCGACCGGAUCGUUCUCUAUGCGAGCGCAAACAUACAUACAUACAUCCACAUAUUUAAUACAAAAGAACAGUACACCAUACAAGAUAACAAAUAAAGCGAAUAUGCAUCAAGUAUGACAUUCGAUAACGCAUUUGUUAUGGUUAGAAAGAAACGGGAAAGGUCUCGCAGGGGGUUAAAUCUUAUGCACUUAAUGACACAAUUGGUUUUUAACAAAAGAAUUCUGUUACAUAUACACUAAUGGAAACCUAAUCACUUUUAGUUGAUCAACAUUGCACAGGGUAAACAAUUAACUACGUGCAUCAAUAGCAUAACGGAAUUUUAAAUUAAACUUCCUACUUUCCCAUAGCAUGAACAGUGAUUAGCCUACUUAAAAUACAGUAAUUAUGAUUACAGAAAGUAAAUAAAAUAAAAUAAAAAAAUAAAAAAAACAGAAGGGGGGGCGGUUGAACCGGCCCUAGGGCGGUUGAACCGGCCCUAGGCGGGGCGCGGGCGCGGGCGGCUGAACCGGCGGGGCAGGGGGCGGCGCAGGGGGCGGCCGAGCCGGGGGGGGGGGGGCGGCCGAACCGGCGGGCAGGGAGGCGGCGCAGGGGGCGGCCGAACCGGCGGGCAGGGAGGCGGCGCAGGGGGCGGCCGAGCCGGGGGGCGGGGCGGCCGAACCGGCGGGCAGGGAGGCGGCGCAGGGGGCGGCCGAGCCGGGGGGCGGGGCGGCCGAACCGGCGGGCAGGGAGGCGGCCGAACCGGCCAUGGGGAAAGGGGAGAGGGGAUGGGGGAGGGAGGAGAGGGGGAGGGGGAGCUCACCGGGGAGGGGCGCGACGGCGAGGGGCGGCCGGCGGCAGGGGCGGCCGAGGGCGGCGGUUGGGCAGGGGGCGGCGGCGGCUUAGGGCAGGGGUAGGGGCGGCGGCUUAGGGAGAGGGAGAGAAAAUGAGAGAAAAUGAGAGGGAGAGGGAGAGGGUUUGGGGAAAAAGGGGAGGUGGGGGGGGGGCGGCUGGGCCUAUUGGGCCCAGGGGGGGGCGCGCAGGGGCCUGGGCCGGCCGGGGUCGGCCCACGGCGCGGGAGAGAGAAAAAAAAAGGAAGAGAGAGAGAAAAGAGAAAGAAAAGAGAAAGAAAACAUUUUCGAAAUCCGAUUCUUCUACAUGAAUGCAUUUGCACUUUCAAAGCAAUCAAAGGAAAUGCAAGGUUCGGCAUGGUGCAUCGAGCAACAUAAAGCAUUUAGGUUUUUUCUUACACGGGAAAUCCAAACCGAAUCCCGCUAGAACUUUGGAAAAGGUCAAGGUUUAGCGAGGGAAAAAGAAAAGGAAAGGUAACGCCCGAAUUUUGGCGAGUAAAGAAAAGAAAAAAUUCAACUGCAAAAUUCGGGGCGUUACAAGUUGACGGGGUGAUCUCGUUGAAUUGCUUGGUGGACUCUUGGGUGUGGCGGUCUUUGACCCUGAACUUCUUGCUCAUCUUCCUUGUCUUCAUUAUCAUAAUCUCCCCCUUGAUCAUUGUCCUCCUCUUGAGGUGGCUCAUCCUCUUGAUCUUCAUCAUCUUGAGCCUGUUCCUCAUCUUGAGUUGGUGGAGAUGCUUGCAUGGAAGAUGACGGUUGAUCUUGUGCUUGUGUGGGCUCUUCGGAUUCUUUAGGACAUACAUCCUUAAUGGACAUGUUCCUUAGCGCGACGCACAGAGGCUCUUCAUCAUCUAGCUCAUCAAGAUCAACUUGCUCCACUUGGGAGCCAUUAGUCUCAUCAAACACAAUGUUACAAGAAACUUCAACUAAUCCAUUGGACUUGUUGAAGACUCUAUAUGCCCUUGUGUUUGAGUCAUAACAAAGUAAAAAACCUUCUACAGCCUUAGGAGCAAAUUUAGAUUUUAUACCGCUUUUAACAAGAAUAAAGAAUUUACUCUCAAAGACUCUAAAAUAUGAAACAUUGGGCUUUUUGAAAGGGAAAUGUGCCCUUGGGCCAUUUCUAAGUAUUUUGGUGAUUGAGUGCCAACACAAGUGCUUAAAUGUGAAUCUAUGCCCAUGAAUGGACAAAGUGCAAAUCAAGAGCAAAGGUAUGUUUCCAUGUCCUAGUACAUUGGUUUUGUGUACUAAUAUACUUGUCUAAGUAUCAGAAACAGGAAGAAGAAGAAAAGAGGGGAGUUGGCUGUGUACAGCCAAGAGGCGGUUUCGGUCUGGAGCACCGGACUGUCCGGUAGUGCACCGGACUGUCCGGUAGUGCACCGGACAGUGUCCGGUGGUGCACCGGACAGUGUCCGGUGCGCCAGACUGCCUCGAGCGAAGUGGUCGCUCUCGGGAAUUCGCCGACGGCGUACGGCUAAAAUUCACCGGACUGUCCGGUGUGCACCAGACUGUCCGGUGAGCCAACGGUCGGCCGGGCCAACGGUCGGCCGCGCGAUCCGCGCGCGACACGUGGCCGAGCCAACGGUCGGAAGGGGGCACCGGACUGUCCGGUGUGCACCGAACUGUCCAGUGCGCCAACGGCUCCCAGAUCUGCAACGGUCGACUGCGCCGUUUAAGGAAAGAAAUCGGGCACCGGACUGUCCGGUGUGCACCGGACUGUCCGGUGCGCCCGAUGACAGAAGGCAAGAUCAGCCUUCCAGAAUUGCUCUCAACGGCUCCUAGCUGCCUUGGGGCUAUAAAAGGGACCCCUAGGCGCAUGGAGGAACACACAACCAAGCAUUCCUACAACAUUCCUAAGCACCAAGACAUCGAUCUCGCGCAUUCGUUUCAUUGUGAUAGCAUAUAGAGCUCUUGUGGAGUUGUGAACUCUUUGAGUUGUGUUGCGAGCUCUUGUUGCGACUUGUGUGCGUUGCUCAUUCCCCCUUGCUCUGUGUUUCUUUGUGAACUUCAAUUGUAAGGGCGAGAGGCUCCAAGUUGUGGAGCCCCCCCCCCCCUCUAGGUGCUCUCAAUUGGUAUCAGAGUCGUUCUCUUCAAGAAAGGGACUAACCGCCCGAAGAGAUGGAUCCCAAGGGGAAGGGAAUCGUGAUCAACGAUAAGGAGAAGGAGUCCUUCGUCAACGAGCCCAAAGAUGACAAGCCUACCGACACCGGCUCGGGCCAUAGACGGAAGGAAGGGAAGAAGAAGAAGACAAGGCGCAUCAAGGAGAUCGUCUACUACGACGACAGCGACGAAUCUUCCUCUUCCCAAAAGGACAACGACGACAACGACUAUGACAAACAAAAGACGGUUAACUCAAACUUUUCUUUUGAUUAUUCGCGCAUUCCGCAUAGCUCAAAUGCUCAUUUGCUCCCCAUUCCACUUGGAAAGCCUCCUCACUUUGAUGGAGAGGACUACGGAUUUUGGAGUCACAAAAUGCGUACUCACCUAUUUUCUCUCCAUCCAAGCAUUUGGGAGAUUGUGGAAAGUGGAAUGAAAUUUGAUAGCUCAGAUAGCCCUUCGUUUAUUAAUGAACAGAUCCAUAAAAAUGCACAAGCUACUACUGUGUUGCUAGCCUCUUUGUGCAGGGACGAGUAUCACAAGGUGAGCGGCUUGGACAAUGCCAAGCAGAUUUGGGACACCCUCAAGAUCUCUCAUGAGGGGAAUGAUGUCACCUUACUCACCAAGAUGGAGUUGGUGGAGGGCGAGCUCGGACGAUUCGCGAUGAUAAGGGGCGAGGAGCCGACACAAACAUACAACCGGCUCAAGAUCCUUAUCAACAAAAUAAGGAGCUACGGAAGCACGCGAUGGACGGAUCACGACGUCGUCCGCCUAAUGCUAAGGUCAUUUACCGUUCUUGAUCCUCACUUGGUAAACAAUAUUCGUGAAAAUCCUAGGUACAUCAAGAUGUCGCCCGAAGAAAUUCUUGGAAAAUUUGUAAGCGGGUGAAUGAUGAUCAAAGAAGCAAGGUACGUGGACGACGCGUUGAAUGGCCCAAUCCAUGAGCCUCAACCCAUUGCUCUCAAGCAAACAAGGAGCAAGGANNNNNNNNNNNNNNNNNNNNNNNNNNNNNNNNNNNNNNNNNNNNNNNNNNNNNNNNNNNNNNNNNNNNNNNNNNNNNNNNNNNNNNNNNNNNNNNNNNNNAUGCAUAGAACACCCAAACGUAGCACAAUGACCAUUCUGUACGGAUUUAUUCUGGAUGAAGAAUUGGCACUUUCUAGAUAGAGGUUGCCGAGUUUCAUCAUUCCUGCAAUAUGGAUCCACAAAAAGUUAUUGCUAAAAGUGCCAUGAAAGUCAGCAUUUACAUGUUUGAUAGCGAUAACCGACAUCUGCAUUCAUAUAUAUAAUAUAACGUACAAGUAUUUCCACUGACAUCAGUCAUCUGCAUAAAUUUUGUUCAAAAGGCAUGAUUUGACAACUGUCUUAGAUUUCUGACACGCCAAAGUGCAAACUACUGUUAACAGUGCUAGUAACAUAAAAGGAAACAUUAAUUAUUGGUACAUUUGGAGCUCGCGAAAGGUACGCACAAGCAUAUGUGAAUUGUGAACUUACAGUAAGGCAUCUUCCAUGUUAUAAUCAGUAGAAGCAUCAAUAUCAGCAACUCCACGCCCUUCUGAUGGAGCAAUGCUUGUUCCAUUGGUCAUAGGAAUUGCACCUUUAUCCUUCAUUUUCCAUCCAUCCACCCUCCUUUCCAUGCAACAUUGCCAAGGCUACCGGAGAACUCCCUCGAUGGGUUUGCUGAUAAGAACCAGGCCGCAGAGAUUAGAUCAUAGCAGAUGCAACAGUAACCAACAAAACAUGAGAUAUUGAUGAUCGAGACACCUACGAGAAUGAUUUACAUAAGGAAAUUGAUGUCCACGCCUGCCAAUGUUCCAACAGGAGACAUCAUAUGAUCAGGGGAAGCUCCAGGAAUCUCUCCUGAGAUCUGUAAAUACGAUUCAUAUGAAGGAACUGAAUAUUAGUUAUGUCUUCUGAACUAUAUUUAACACAAUCGCCUUAAAAGUCUAAAGUUUCAACUCCAACCUGGCUAUGAGUUAGUGACGGGAUAUAUCCACGAGGGAUCUCACCACUGUCAUACUUCCCAUGCCCAAUUUCACCGCUGUCAUACUUAGCCAGGCCAAUACACUGCCACGUGAGUUUGUCCGCCAGGUGAGCAUUCUCUCAGCAAUCUUUUGCUUCUGAUCCUGGUUGCCAGAUGCUUGGUAGUGUAGUCACUCACAUCGUCAGCAUCCACAUCCUCAUUUUCCUCACCGUGUACUGGUGGGCUCCCUGAACAACAGAACACGAUUGAGUAAAGAAUAAGAUUCAGCCUCGGUUGAAGCCAAAGAAUUCCACUCUUGUGGCUCUUGGCGGCAAUGUGACUCGAAACUACAAUUCGAGUACAGUUCACUGAGAGAGCUAGCUUACGGUGAGAAUCUGAAUAAAUUUGCCAAACACUGAACUAUUACCUGUUCCUAGCGAUUAAAACACAACUACCUGCUUGAUUUCAGUGGCUGUUGCAGCCUAGCCUGCUGCACUCAACCUGGAGUACAUGGAAAUCGGUGGAAAUGGCGGCGGU